GUCUGGUGGUUUUCUGUUUGGUCUUCCUGCUGGAGCGAGGUCUGCACCUGUGUCAGUCCCUGUCUGUGUCUGGAUGGCUCACUGUCCAAAUCUUCAGGCUCACAUAAAAGGAGAAAGGCGAGAACGGAUACAUUUUAGAUGCCUUUAAAGGGGUGGGAUAGGGGUGAACAUGGAAAGCACCGAGAAGUCCUGAGAAGCCAGGACUUGAAAAUUAGAAAGAGGAAGAGAAACUCACAGAUCACGCUGAGGCUGAGAAGGAGCAGCCCAUCAAGCACUAUAGGAGACACUGAGUGUGAAAAACACACUUGAAGUGUUUUUUUCUAUUCUCUUAUCAAAAAUAAUCAACACAGAAGAAUUCUGUGACCCACUAUGUGAGGAUUUCUUCCUACCAGCAAGCAUGGAAUCAACUCUGUAGCAGUUAUCAACAGGUUGUGCUCCAAUCCAACUCCAUUCUGACCAUGUCUAUCUGGAGGUAGCAUCAGAUCCCACCGUUUGAGGGCUCCGUCCUUAAACCUGCCCCUUGUUUUCAAUGUCUGUCAAAAGCCCAGGUUGGGAUGGGACUGAGUCACCCAUCUAAUCCUGCUGUGGUCUUUCAGGUGACCAGCCCCCUUCCUGAAGCAACGUAGGGGCUGCCAGCCAUUAGUCAACUCAUGAGCAUCCAAAAAGAUAUCACUUUGUAGACUCCAGGGAUUUUAGGAUUUAUAUGCCAGGAAGUGGGACAAAGACCAAAUAUAUGCUUCACAAUAGCACAGAGACCAAAAGAGCAGGUGUCCUAAAGACCCAGAGAAGAAAGUCUUUAGAGGAGGCAACAGUCAUCAAGACUGGGACACUGACCCCUGGAUUUAGCAACAAACAGGUCCGGUAUCUGGACAAGAGCAGACUGAGAAGACUGGGAAGAAUGAAGGCCUAGUCAGGGUGGGUUUAUGGGAUGAUGGAAGGAGAUAAGUGGAGUGGGCAGCUGUCAGUCAUAACUAGCCUCAGGAAUGCAGCUGAGGGAAGCAAAGAAAAGACACGGCAGUGGGAAGAGCUCACAGGAUUGGGAGGGUUUGUUGUUAUUGUACUGUCAUUAUUGCUGUGAGGAAGAGAGCGCUUGCUGUCCAUUUAUUCAGCAGGGAGGGAGAAGCCAAUGACAGGACAGAUCGAAGGAUGUUGUCCUGGAAACAGAGAGGCAGGCCAACUGGGGAUUUCACAGGACGAUGUGCGGGACUUCUGAUGCUUCUUUUUUUCUUAGGGAAAUUCAGAAUAAGGACAAGAGCUGAGAGUGAAAGACGGAAGGGUCUCUCUGUGUGUCCCGCAGGGCCUAUCCUAUUCCUCCAGCCCCAGGAAGCCAAACCUUGCCACGGCCCCUCCUCCUUCAGGACUGUUUCUUUGCUUCUCCCUUUCCUGAAAAUCAAGUCUUUAUGGGUUGAGUCUUUACCACUUGGUCAUUUCCAGAAAGUCCCCUUCUUGCUAAUUUGCAAAUGGCUGCUGUCUACUUUAUGUGUUAACAGGAUUUAUGCUUGAUGUGGCAAAUAUCUUUCUGUCCUGUGCUGUCAUGAUGUGUCUUUAGAGGAAGACUUCAUUCAACUCAAUAUCCCAAAUCAGAAAGUUUUCAUUGAGUGCCAUGGAUGGGCCCCACACUUCUAGCCCAGAGUCCCAGCUAACCGAAGGUGCUCCCACCCAGCACCAUCAGGUCUUUUAUGCAGCACAGGUAAAUGCCCCUGGGAGCAGCAACUGUCACUGACAUUCUCUCCUGCACUUUACCACUCAACCAACACAUGCCCUUGACACCUGGGUGUCAGGAACAGUCACAGUAGCCCCCAUUGCGCUUGGAGGGUCAUUGCUUUGAGGCAAA